rnacentral:rRNA from 1 species
UACGUAGGGUGCGAGCGUUGUCCGGAAUUAUUGGGCGUAAAGGGCUCGUAGGCGGUCUGUCACGUCGGGAGUGAAAACACGGGGCUUAACCCCGUGCCUGCUUCCGAUACGGGCAGACUAGAGGUAUGCAGGGGAGAACGGAAUUCCUGGUGUAGCGGUGAGAUGCGCAGAUAUCAGGAGGAACACCGGUGGCGAAGGCGGUUCUCUGGGCAUUACCUGACGCUGAGGAGCGAAAGUGUGGGGAGCGAACAGG